AAAAGCAUUUUCUAUGAUGUGUUUUAUAAAUAUGCUCUGACCCCACAAGCCCUCUCAGACUUUGAGAAAGUGAAAUAAGUGAUUCCAACAGUAAGACCCCGUUAAGCCCAAACCAAAAUGAAACAGAAUGCCAGGACCUUUUCACUGAAAUGCCUGAAAUGUGUGUGUGUAUGUGAGAGAGAGAAAGAGAGAGAGAAAGGGAGGGAGAUAGAGAGAGUGUGUGUGUGGCUCUUUUUAUGUGUAUGUAGCCUACUUACUGUAUCUGUAUGUAUAUGUGUGUGUGCCCACGAGAGACAGACAUGAGAGAGUGGAAUAGGGUUAUUCUAGUGCAGAUGUGGGAGGUAAUGGCUUUUAUUGGCAGCAUUAAUCACAUCCUCUUCCUACAAAAUACAUACAGUGAAACCUAACAGUCGGUACCUUCCAGCAAGGCUAAUUCAAAAGUGAAUGAAUAAGCAAAAGUCAUGUCCGCACGAGUCUCAAAAACUGAAAGUGCUCAGAGCAGUCAGCUGGUUUUCUGUCCAUCCGCAUCUCAGCUAUGAGGCCCAGGCAGCAAACACACAAGAAGUGCUGAAAAUGGCAAAUCCAAGAUUUCUGCUGUUUUUCUUGGCUGUCGAAGUCACAGCGGUAAGGGUCUUCUCUCCUCUUGGACUAACGGCCGGGCUCCCCUGUUAUUAUGGAUUCGAAUCCCUGGAGGACAUCAAGCAGCUAUCCCUUCAGUGGAAGGGCCCCAGCAACGAGCUCUUUUGCCACUUCAUCAAGCACAAGGCCUAUCAGAACUGCACCCCAGGUUACUCUCUGGUCUACACACCCAACAACAUCACUCUCAGCAUUAUGACAGUGAAAUGGACAGACUUCGGGACCCAUGUGUGUUCCGUGAGCAAGAGGCACGAGUUUUCCGACUUCAGGAUAGAGGUCAUCUUGAAGUCAGAAUCAUCUUCAAAUUCUUCAGUGGGCAGUGGAUGCCAUUCAGGUCAUGCAAAUCCCUUCUCUUUUUUUGUCUGUUUGUUUGUGAUUGUCUGGGAGUGCAGAUGUCAUAGGCCAUAAACACUGGGACAUUCAUAUUGUAUUUAAUGGCUGUUAUUGCUGUUGUCGCUAUUUUAUGUUCAACAAUACUUUUCUCAAGAAGCUGAGCUAUCAUUCACACAGCUUUCAUGUUGUUGCCCUGGAUGGAUUUUGUAUUUUGACUUCCAGAAGAAUUUGUGUUCUGUUACUUGUAUGCCUGUGUUCAUUUUUAAAUUGUGUAAAGAAAAACAUUCCUGUUAUAGAUUAUUAUGAUUAUGUAAGUAAUCAUAUGUAUGGAGUGUAUUGUUGAUGUUUAUUGUUUCUCAUUUAAAUUUCACCAGAAUAGGCUACACCAGGCCUUGCCUCAGAUCACCACUAGGUGGCUCUAAACACAUUUCUGCAUAUGCUGGAUUGGGUUUCACCAUCAACAGAGUGAAACAUGCACUGUGGGCAUCUUUAGUCUGACAUGUAGGCUAUGCGCCACAUACAUCAACUCAAUUACUAGCUGAAAUUAAUUUUGAGAUGAAGGAAACUGUCCAGUUUCAGUUGUAAGAACAACCCCCAUUUUGGGGGUGGUGGUAUACAUUUUGGUACACAAGGACUACUCCAGGAGGUUUGGGGGACAUUUUUCACUGCAACUCAAGAUCAGGUCA
rnacentral:lncRNA from 1 species